rnacentral:rRNA from 1 species
GAGUUUGAUCAUGGCUCAGGAUGAACGCUAGCGAUAGGCUUAACACAUGCAAGUCGAGGGGCAGCGAGGGUAGCAAUACCUGUCGGCGACCGGCGCACGGGUGAGUAACGCGUAUGUAACCUGCCCGCAACAGGGGGAUAACCCGGCGAAAGUCGGACUAAUACCGCAUAAAACAGGGGUCCCGCAUGGGAAUAUUUGUUAAAGAUUUAUCGGUUGCGGAUGGGCAUGCGUACCAUUAGGUAGUUGGUGAGGUAACGGCUCACCAAGCCAUCGAUGGUUAGGGGUUCUGAGAGGAAGGUCCCCCACACUGGUACUGAGACACGGACCAGACUCCUACGGGAGGCAGCAGUGAGGAAUAUUGGUCAAUGGGCGAGAGCCUGAACCAGCCAAGUCGCGUGAAGGAUGACUGCCCUAUGGGUUGUAAACUUCUUUUACAAGGGAAUAAAAUGAGAUACGUGUAU